GCAGUAGCCGCGGGAAUACGAAGGGGGCUAGCGUUGUUCGGAUUUACUGGGCGUAAAGGGCGCGUAGGCGGAUAUUUAAGUCAGGGGUGAAAUCCCAGAGCUCAACUCUGGAACUGCCUUUGAUACUGGGUAUCUUGAGUAUGGAAGAGGUGAGUGGAAUUCAGAGUGUAGAGGUGAAAUUCGUAGAUAUUCGGAGGAACACCAGUGGCGAAGGCGGCUCACUGGUCCAUUACUGACGCUGAGGUGCGAAAGCGUGGGGAGCAAACAGGAUUAGAUACCCCUGUAGUCCCUGUCUCUUAUAC
rnacentral:rRNA from 1 species